AAUACCAAAAACUAUCUUCUUCUUCCUAUUUUCUAAGAAAAACCGUCCACCAAGGGAGAGGAAAAAUCGUGAGGUUCUCAAAUAAGUCUCACCCCGAUCUUCUGUCGAACCGUCGAUUUAAUCGUGUAAAGGUUAUGAAAUCAAGUAGCUACACCCAAAUGUUCGCAAGGGAUAGGAAAAAGGAUCCGUGAGAGAAGAAACAUCGAAUGGAAAGGUUUGGAAAUAAACGUCAUCCAGGUAGCAUGCUCAACACUUAAAUGGCCUAAUUCUCAUGUGCUUUUAUGUGAUUAUUAUGUGACCUAUUGUCUUAGUAAAUUAUGAUUAAUUAUGUGAUAAAAGACUUGUGGAGUAAAAUAUGAGAAAAUGAUGAAUUGUUGAAUGAUUUGGAAAUAUAUGUGUUGGUGUGAUAAAUGAUUAUAUGAAACCAAGAUGAAAAUGAAUAUGAUUAUGACUAUAAAGAUUUUGAGAUAAAGGUGGAAAUGGACGCUAAGACGAAUGUGAAAAACGAUAUAUGUUGAUGAGAUGUAUACGAAUAUGUGAUUGCAGUAUGUGAUAUGUAUAUGUUGCUUCUGACACAAAAAAUGUAAAUUUGGAUAUGUGAUGGUAUUGAAAGAGCUGGAAAUUUAUCUGUUUAUCUAAUCUGAUAUGGUAUGAAAGGAAGAUAUUGAUGUGUUAUGUUAGUAAUUUUUGAGAAUAAGUAUUGAUAUGAAAAUGGGUAUAUUUGAAUGUGUUUACGCCCCGUGCUUGAGUGUGUUCUGUGGGUACAAUUGGCAUGCCAUAGGAUAGCAGCGCUGCAUCAUCUGUGAUCUCCCGUCUUCUGGAUAACCGAAGCGAGGAUCGUCUGUUAUCUGAUCUGUCCGAUCUGCACCCUAUGGGUGGUCUGUUCCCGGGAUUAUCCGUCUGCAUCCGAAAUGGAUGGUCUGAUUAUCUGUCUGCACCCUAAUUGGGUGGUAUGUGCGGAGUCCUCUCGAGGACAAAAUCCGCGUCUAUAUUUGAUUCUGAUUCUGAUCUGGUCUGCGUACCCUAGUCUGUCACUAAGCACUUAAUGCGGCUAUCUAUGUGUUUGGAUAUGUGAAAAUAUGGUUAGUUUGUAUAUGUGUGCUAUGUGUGUUGGUAUGUGAUAUUGCUUUGUAUAUGUCACGUGGAAUACUUGAUGCUAUGGAUAUGUUGAUAAUUGUUGAUAUGUUCUGCGAUUGAUAUUGUCUAUUGCUGGACUAUGGGCAUGUGUUGGUUUUAGGGGAGACGCUGCCUAAAUUAUGUUAGAUGUGACAAUAUGUGUAUGACAAUAUAUGAGUUAUAAUAUGAGAUUAUGUGAAACAUCUGUUAUAAUUUGAUAUGAUAAUAUCUUAUACGUGAAAAUGGAUUAUAUUACAUAGUUCUGUUGGGUUUUGUUAUAAAUAUUGAAAACCCGAGACUUGCAGAUGUACUUUAUGACAUAUGUGAAGUUUUGUAUUAUUAUACCCCUCUGAUGAUGACAUAGUUUGGAAAUUUGAAGUCGUGGGCGAAGAUUUGACUACUGGUACGGGUAUGUUGAUACGUGUGAUAGCGUCUGUGAUUUGUUUGUGUAGAUGUGGUGAUGAUUGAAACAAAAUAAUAAGAAUUUAAAAAGAAUUUUUAGUUGAAUGAUUAUUGAUUGUUAGGGAAUUGUGGCUGAAGUGUUUAGUGUGCUACAGGUUAAUUGGAUCGGGGAUUUCUUUGGAUAUUUCUUUUGUUUCCUCUCCAGCACUGCAUCCUCGGUGGGUCACUGAUCACUGCUUGCGGCGUUUGUGUCCAUUUCUGUUAGAUGUGGCAUGUAUAGUAUUUGAAUAUUUGUAAUAGCUUCCGUUGUGUUUGUAAAUAGUGUUGGAACUCUUGCUGAUAGGUUAGUGAAUUAAGUUUGGUUUUUAAUUGACCAUAAUUUAUAGCACCGUAAUUGUGACAUUUCUUA